rnacentral:rRNA from 2 species
CCGAAGCGGGGGAUAACAUUUGGAAACAAGUGCUAAUACCGCAUAAUUAGUUGGAACCGCAUGGUUCCAACUUGAAAGAUGGCUCUGCUAUCACUUUGGGAUGGACCCGCGCCGUAUUAGUUAGUUGGUGAGAUAAAAGCCCACCAAGACGAUGAUACGUAGCCGACCUGAGAGGGUAAUCGGCCACAUUGGGACUGAGACACGGCCCAGACUCCUACGGGAGGCAGCAGUAGGGAAUCUUCCACAAUGGACGAAAGUCUGAUGGAGCAACGCCGCGUGAGUGAUGAAGGUUUUCGGAUCGUAAAACUCUGUUGUUAAAGAAGAACAAGUGUUAGAGUAACUGUUAACACUUUGACGGUAUUUAACCAGAAAGCCACGGCUAACUACGUGCCAGCAGCCGCGGUAAUACGUAGGUGGCAAGCGUUGUCCGGAUUUAUUGGGCGUAAAGCGAGCGCAGGCGGUUUUGUAAGUCUGCUGUGAAAGCCCUCAGCUCAACUGAGGAAGUGCAGUGGAAACUACAAAACUUGAGUACAGAAGAGGAAAGUGGAACUCCAUGUGUAGCGGUGAAAUGCGUAGAUAUAUGGAAGAACACCAGUGGCGAAGGCGGCUUUCUGGUCUGUUACUGACGCUGAGGCUCGAAAGCAUGGGUAGCGAACAGGAUUAGAUACCCUGGUAGUCCAUGCCGUAAACGAUGAAUACUAGGUGUUGGAGGGUUUCCGCCCUUCAGUGCCGCAGCUAACGCAUUAAGUAUUCCGCCUGGGGAGUACGACCGCAAGGUUGAAACUCAAAGGAAUUGACGGGGGCCCGCACAAGUGGUGGAGCAUGUGGUUUAAUUCGAUGCUACGCGAAGAACCUUACCAGCUCUUGACAUCUUCUGCCAACCCAAGAGAUUGGGCGUUCCCUUCGGGGACAGAAUGACAGGUGGUGCAUGGUUGUCGUCAGCUCGUGUCGUGAGAUGUUGGGUUAAGUCCCGCAACGAGCGCAACCCUUAUUAUUAGUUGCCAGCAUUUAGUUGGGCACUCUAGUGAGACUGCCGGUGAUAAACCGGAGGAAGGUGGGGACGACGUCAAAUCAUCAUGCCCCUUAUGAGCUGGGCUACACACGUGCUACAAUGGAUGGUACAACGAGUCGCGAAACCGCGAGGUCAAGCUAAUCUCUUAAAGCCAUUCUCAGUUCGGAUUGCAGGCUGCAACUCGCCUGCAUGAAGUUGGAAUCACUAGUAAUCGUGGAUCAGCAUGCCACGGUGAAUACGUUCCCGGGCCUUGUAGCAGCACCGCCCGUCACACCAUGAGAGUUUG